rnacentral:rRNA from 1 species
CACUGUGGAAUUCGCCCUUAGAGUUUGAUCCUGGCUCAGAUUGAACGCUGGCGGCAGGCUUAACACAUGCAAGUCGAGCGGGGGAAAGUAGCUUGCUACUGGACCUAGCGGCGGACGGGUGAGUAAUACUUAGGAAUCUGCCUAUUAGUGGGGGACAACGUUCCGAAAGGAGCGCUAAUACCGCAUACGCCCUACGGGGGAAAGCAGGGGAUCUUCGGACCUUGCGCUAAUAGAUGAGCCUAAGUCGGAUUAGCUAGUUGGUGGGGUAAAGGCCUACCAAGGCGACGAUCUGUAGCGGGUUU